rnacentral:tRNA from 2 species
GGGCUCAUAGUAAAGUGGUAUUACGCGGCAUUCGCAUUGCCGAGUCUCGGGUUCGAUUCCCGAUGAGUCCA